AACGAACGCUGGCGGCAUGCCUAACACAUGCAAGUCGAACGAGACCUUCGGUUCUAGUGGCGCACGGGUGCUUAACGCGUGGUAACCUGCCCUUAGGUUCGGAAUAACUCCCCGAAAGGGGUUCUAAUACCGGAUAAUGUCUUCGGACCAAAGAUUUAUCGCCUUUUGAUGGGCCCGCGUUGGAUUAGCUAGUUGGUAGGGUAAAAGCCUACCAAGGCGACGAUCCAUAGCUGGUCUGAGAGGAUGAUCAGCCACACUGGGACUGAGACACGGCCCAGACUACUACGGGAGGCAGCAGAGGGGAAUAUUGGAAAAUGGGCGAAAGACUGAUAAAGCAAUGACGCGGGAGUGAGGAAGGCAUUAGGGUUGUAAAGCUCUUUUAAACGGGAUGAUAAUGACAGUAACGGGAGAAUAAGCGACGGCUAACUACGUG
rnacentral:rRNA from 1 species